AACAAAGGAAAUAAACAGAAAUGAAACACAAAGGUGCAGGAGAGGCUCUAAAAAUAUUUUGUUGCCUCUGGUACUUCUUGUCUCCAGAGGAGUUUUACAUCUCGGCAGGCAGGAGUCGUUUCUAAGUCUGUUGUUACUUGUACACUGAGGUUUCUUUGCCUCGUGCCAGCUGGGUGAUUAAUCAUAAUGAUUAUUAACAAAGAGCUCACAAGCAGCUCUGAGAAGCUCCUGUAGUGUCUGACUUGACCAUGGGUGUUUCUCUCCAUGAAUGGGCUCUGGUGCUGCUCUCAGCCUGUCCUGGCACUCAGCCCCUCACCAAGGUCACACAAUGCUCCUUCUGCCACUCCUGCUGACACCAGGAGGCUCCACAGCUCACCUACAGUUCUGCAAAGCAGAGAAUGAACAUCUUCCUACCCCUAGAGCUUGCCCUGUAGCCAGAGAAACAUGUUUGGAGUAAAAUCAUUUCUGGAGAUCUGCUCCCAGCAGAGGCCUGAGCAAACGCUGGCAGCUCCUGCCCUGGAGCCAUGGGCUGCUCAGCACUGCACUCCUGAGGCAAAAACCUGAUGCAUUUGUCCCACACACAUUCAACCUCCAACAGACUUUGUUUUCACUCACUUGCUGCUAAUGAGAAUCUCAGUCUUCAUUUUAAAAAACAAACUCAUCACAAAUAGGAAGAAACUGCGUGUAUCAGAAAGGAGCUCUUUAAUUCCUGACUUGGCUAUUUUAAUACUUUGAUUAUAAUGAGAAAAGCUCAUUGCACCAGUUUCCUGGCCCAAAGGAAUGGUGGAUCAAAGUAUUAAGAGAUCUGUCUGCACAGGAGACAUGCUCCCAUCUUGUUGGCACAGAGACCGGGGACGUACUCAUAGCCACCAGGAGUUUGCUCACUCACUAAAUAUACAGAUCCAGUUUCUAGUGCAAGUUUGGAGUCAAGCAUUCCUUCCAAUGGGCUCACUAUGCCAGGGAUAUAAAUACCUGUUUAUUUACAUUUAGUGUAGCAGCCAGAGUAAGCCCCAUGAAAGGCUGGAAAGAGAAGACAUUUGGUAUCCUGAUAGCCUGUGGGCAGUGUGACAGCCGCAGAGGGGCUGUCCUGUGUGCUCUGUGCUGCUGCAGACAUCAGGGCCAGCUGCAUUUACUGCUCAGUCUGGGGAAAAUGUCCUCAGAGCUCCUGUGAGCAGCCCGGAGGGACCAGCUGGAACUCACCAGUAUCAAAGUGUUUGGUGUUAUCAGACUGGUAGAGUUUCAAACAACCUUGUGAUUUCUCUGUCCCAGUGGUUUCCAAACUUUUUGAGCCUCCAGAUUGCUGACUACCUUAAAAAUGAUACAGAAACCAGACCAGCUUCUGUCAUUGUCCAUCACUCACCUGAUCAUGAAUAAACUUAGAAAUAUUUCUGUCUACUGGGAUUUCACAGAGAAGCUGCACAAUGCUGGCCUUCACUUUCCAGGCUGCUGCUGUGUGUGGGGGAAGUGGCAAGUGCUCCCUGCCAUCACACACAGACACAUGUCCAAGAGUGUCACCAGCCUGAUGCUCUGGGAUUGGGUCAGCAUCAGGCCCUGAAGCUUUCCUUUCCCUGCAUAUUCUCAUGGCUGCUGAUACAGACAACUUUGUAGAGCAUUAAUGUAUUCCCAUUGAAAUUUUAGCUCAGGGCCAUAUUUUGUUAUGCAGCACUGGUGUAAUGUCAGCUUGCUGCCUCCUUGCCAAGCACAAAUCUUCUGCUUUGCAAAACCAGUGGUGAAGGCAGUCACGUGAAUAGGGAAAUUCUGCCCCCAGUAACUGCAAUGGUAAAUUACAUCUUGUCUCUCUAAUGUGAGUAUUACUUAAUGAAAAGAUUUGCAUUUAGGCUCUGCUGGUCUUACUGUAAAGCUUGAGCAUGUGGCCCUAAACCCAGCAAUUACAGACCUGUCUGUACUCUUAGCACCCUGAGAUACUGUACAAGGGGAAUGAACAGAAUUCUCUCCAUGGCUUUUGUGCUGAUCCACUGAAAUCUGCAGGAAGAUUUCCUUCACACCCCAAGACUUUGGAGCUGGCACACAAUGUCAGAUUUCAGAAGGUUAAUAGCAGGGGACUAUAAAAAGGGAAGAGAAUGCAAUAUGCUGAAAGCAAAAUUCACAUCAUACAAAGUUGCAGUCUUAAAUACCACCUGUCUUGCCAGGAGUGCUCUUUCUUUGGGGAUAUUUGGCUGAAUAACUGGCAGCUACUGUGAAAGAAUCUGUCCCCCAGCUGAUGUAAAUUUUGGGUUUCUGGGGCCAAGUCCUGUGUAGUUACACCUGGCUAUAGUCAAGGUAAUUGCACAUUACCAAGUUAUUCAGUUAUCCACAGUAGAUUUUUUUCCCCAUUAUUGCAGCCCAUUUUUGUUCUCAAGCAGAAUAUUUCUUUAGCCUAGUUCUGGUAUUGUUCUGGAGAAAACACAAGAAAAAAAAAAAAAAGCAAAAUGGGACAAUGGUAAUGCAAAAGCCUUAUUUAUCCAACCCUCUCCAUUAUGACUGCUGAGAGUAGGCUACAUCCUACCACCAUGUGUGUCCACACUGGAGUAUUUUAUGUACAGGAUGCUGUAAGAGUGGUCCAGUGAAUGGGAUCUGUAAUGCUACAAGAUGGCAUGGCAAUUAAAUUGUGUGCUCCAACAUCACUAAGCAAACUGCAGGCCAGACCAACCCCACCUACUUGAAGGAGAAGCAUAUUCAGGAGUAGAUUUGCAUGGAGGUCCCCAUCCUCUCAUGUUGUAUGCUGAGACACGGACAUAAUAUCUCUGGCCCUGCAAAUGGAAACAACUGAAGUCAAAACUAUCACUGGAUUCAAAACCUUGGCUGUAACAACUGCAAAGCAGUGCCUCGCAAAGAUUUUUUUUCCAGCUUAAAUAGUUUUAAUAAUUUAAAUGCACCAUGAUCAAUUGAAACAUACUACAAAGAUUUGAGGACAAGGUUUAAGACCCAAUUCUGUUUGUUGCAAAAUAGAUAUACAAAGACAAAUAAC